rnacentral:sRNA from 1 species
AGAAGAGGAGAGGAGGUUGUGUAGGACAAGCUGCUCCCGACAGAAGGAUGUCGCUGCUGAGCCUGCCCUGGCUGGGCCUCAGACCGGUGGCAACGUCCCCAUGGCUACUCCUGCUGCUGGUUGUGGGCUCCUGGCUACUCGCCCGUGUCCUGGCUUGGACCUAUGCCUUCUAUAACAACUGCCGUCGGCUCCAGUGUUUCCCACAGCCCCCAAAACGGAACUGGUUUUGGGGUCACCUGGGCCUGAUCACUCCUACAGAGGAGGGCUUGAAGAACUCGACCCAGAUGUCGGCCACCUAUUCCCAGGGCUUUACGAUAUGGCUGGGUCCCAUCAUCCCCUUCAUCGUUUUAUGCCACCCUGACACCAUCCGGUCUAUCACCAAUGCCUCAGGUACCCAUGCAGAGCUUGUGGUGGUGGGUGCCAGGCCAAGCUUCUGUGUGGUCUCUGCCGUACCCAGGUCCCUCCUUGAGUACUCGUGCCCCUCAUUGAGACUUCCAUCUCAAUGUCUUCUCCCUCCAUUGCCAUCUGCUCCCUGCCUUGGUGUUCUGGG